UUCAACUCCAUGAACGUCAACAUUCUCUUCCACUAUAGCUUCAACAAAAUUUCUAGUAUUUUCUUUCAUUUGUUUGUUUGGCAUAAAAAUUUCAUGCUCUUCUUCUACGGAAUUCACCUGAUCUUGAUGAGUGGCAUGUGCCGAAACAUUGACACCAUUGCGGGUGUUUGGAUUUGAGUUGUUUCCACUACCAAGUACUUCA
rnacentral:lncRNA from 1 species